UUGCCCAUCUAAGACAGGCAGUGUCUCAAAUGGCCAACAUAAAGGGGGAGAUAAAACACUCUCUCAAACCCAAAGCAAGUGGAUUAUCAAUGCUUUGGAUCCUGUCGGGAGGAACAAAC